GCCUGGAUAGCUCAGUUGGUUAGAGAGUGGUGUUGAUAAUGCCAAGGUUGCAGGUUUGAUCCCUGUAUGGGACA